AUGUGUGAAUGCUUUCUUCAGUCUGAUAAGGAACCAAUAACUCAUGGUAUACUAGGAUUUUCUCCAUACUUUAGCACUUCCGCACUGAGAAUAAAGCAAGUACUUUCACAACAAAGGUUGUUACCUCCAGGGUUUUUUGCCACCUAUAAUCCUUUCAGCAUUAGGGACUGCCCAAUUGGUUCUGGACAAUACAACAAAAGAAAUGUGCAAGAGAGCUUUAUGCCCACAAAUAAUAUUUCAGGCUGCUCCUUUUUAAUGACAGAGAUUCACACUGCCAUUCACAGAAUGAAUAUAGUUCCUAAGAAGUAUGCUCUUUUAUCUAAUUAUAUGUACAUCAAUUAA
rnacentral:rRNA from 1 species